UUCCUAUACGUGCGAUCUCGUUCGCUUGCACUACUUGUUUUCUCAUGAGAACCGGUAAGUUGAAAACUUGGGUCAUUCUUCAUUUUAGCGAUUCUCUGUAUGAAUUGUUCGAAAAAUGUAAACGGGGGAUAGACACAUUGUUCUCGUUCCUUGUAUCUUGUUGCAUCUGUUGUCCAUUUCUCACGGAGAUUCCAUGGCAGUUUGGAAAUGAGGAGAUUAACUCCUGUCGAGGAGUCAAAAUACGAAAACAGAAUGUUAUACUGAGGUCGACAUUUUAUUGAAGCUAAUUCAGAAGCAAGGUCUGCUAACUCAUAUAAGCGUUUUGGGUCUUGUUUGUCGAUGACCUUGAAUGACGAAAUUCUUCUUUUUAAGCAUGUCUCUAUGACUUCUGGCGAACCGAACCUUUGUUCUAGUCGUUCCCAAAUUUUCUCAACUGCUAAACCUGGAUUUAUCGCAUUACAUGCACGAAUGGUUGACGCCUGUUUUGAUGAAUCAGGCCCCAGCCAACGUACUAAUAAAUCGAGUUC
rnacentral:lncRNA from 1 species